rnacentral:lncRNA from 1 species
UCUUAAAAUUUUGAGGCUAAAAGAAGCUUGAACCUCUGUUUUUCUCGCGUCCCCAGCUUGCUACAGUAGCGGUGCGAUUUUCUGCAUAGGGCGUGAUCUGCUACUUGCUUGCCCACGAGAUUUAUGUUGCACGUGCAUAUCAUGUGCUGACACGUCAUAAAAAAAAGAAACAAAUGGCUUUGAAAGAAAAGCUAGGCACGCAGACUUGGGAGAAAUAUAACACAUGAUUUGUCCUCUUUCAACUACUCCUAUAUAAA